GUGGAUUAGAUACCCUGGUAGUCCACGCCCUAAACGAUGUCAACUAGGUGUUGGGGGAGGAGACUUCUUUAGUACCGCAGCUAACGCGUGAAGUUGACCGCCUGGGGAGUACGGUCGCAAGAUUAAAACUCAAAGGAAUUGACGGGGACCCGCACAAGCGGUGGAUUAUGUGGAUUAAUUCGAUGCAACGCGAAAAACCUUACCUACCCUUGACAUGCCAGGAAGUUUCCAGAGAUGGAUUCGUGCCCGAAAGGGAACCUGGACACAGGUGCUGCAUGGUCGUCGUCAACU
rnacentral:rRNA from 1 species